CAGUAGCCGCGGGAAUACGUAGGGUGCGAGCGUUAAUCGGAAUUACUGGGCGUAAAGCGUGCGCAGGCGGUUCGUUAAGACAGAUGUGAAAUCCCCGGGCUUAACCUGGGAACUGCAUUUGUGACUGGCGAGCUAGAGUAUGGCAGAGGGGGGUAGAAUUCCACGUGUAGCAGUGAAAUGCGUAGAGAUGUGGAGGAAUACCGAUGGCGAAGGCAGCCCCCUGGGCCAAUACUGACGCCCAUGCACGAAAGCGUGGGGAGCAAACAGGAUUAGAUACCCCCGUAGUCCCUGUCUCUUAUAC
rnacentral:rRNA from 1 species